GACGAACGCUGGCGGCGUGCUUAACACAUGCAAGUCGAACGAAGUGGCGAACGGGUGAGUAACGCGUAAUCAACCUGCCCUUCAGAGGGGGACAACAGAUGGCAACGACUGCUAAUACCGCAUACGGAAGGAGGGACUUGCGUCGGAUUAGCUAGUGGGAGGGGUCACGGCCCCCCAAGGCGAUGAUCAGUAGCCGGUCUUGGAGGAUGAACGGCCAGUUUGGGACUGGGACACGGCCCAGACUCCUACGGGAGGCAGCAGUGGGGAAUCUUCCGAAAUGGACGAAAGUCUGACGGAGCAACGCCGCGUGAGUGAUGACGGCCUUCGGGUUGUAAAGCUCUGUUAAUCGGGACGCGGUACCGGAAUAGAAAGCCACGGCUAACUACGUGCCAGCAGCCGCGGUAAUUC
rnacentral:rRNA from 1 species